ensembl:misc_RNA 7SK 7SK RNA
UGAUCAUGCCAUGACAUCCCCACUAACUGCCAGAGUGAUUUAGUAAAUCUGGCUGGGGAGACAGGUGUCAUCUCCCUUCCUCAAUGCUCCACAUGCUCUGUCUGGAUUGAAGGGGAUGGCCUUUUCCAAUAGAAAAGUUUCUGUGGUCAGGGUAUACAAGUAGCUGUGCUCCCUGCUAGAAGCCCCAAACAAGCUCUGGACAUCCAUUUGUAGAACAUAGGGUAGUGGAGACUCUAAGACUCCGGACAGAAAAGGAAAAAUAAAUUGUGAAAAAAUCAUAUGAUUAAAAC